GAGAGUUAAACAGUACGUGAAAUUGUUGAAAGGGAAACGAUUGAAGUCAGUCAUACCAACGGGAAAUCAACCUUUUGAGUUUGGUCUCGUGGGUUUUGAAGAGUUUUUAAAAGCCUUCGGAUUUUCGAGAUUGGGUUCUUCUGGUGUACUUUCUCGUACGGUUAGUCAACAUCGGUUUUGAAUGUCAUAAAAUGACUGGAGGAAUGUGGCUUCGAUCUCGUAUUGAAGUGUUAUAGCCUUUGGUAGAUGUGAUGUUUGAGACCGAGGAUUGCAACGGAUACCCUUCUGAGCUAUUCGUCUGAUCUCUGAAACGUUGCUUUGAUGUCGAAAGCUUGCUUAUAAUGUUAGGGUAUUACGAUCAAAAGGUUAGAAUGGAUUAAAUUCGUUAAGGAUGUUGACGUAAUGACUUUAAACGA
rnacentral:rRNA from 1 species